UAAAAUACACCUGGGCACACCUGGGAUACACCUGAGAUACACCUGGGAUACACCUGGGGGGGCUCCUGAACACAGAGUCGCGUGCGGCAGGUGAGGGGGGGGCACCCAAAACACACCUGGGCACACCUGGGGACACCCGGGAACACGGGGGGUACCUGGGCACACCUUGGGGGACCUGGGGACACACCUGGGGUACACUGGGGGUACCUGGACACACCUGGGCACACCUGGGACACACCUGGGCACACCUGGGGGUACCCGUGCCCCCCCCCGUGCCCCUCCCGUGCCCCUCACCUGUGCCCGCACCUGUGCAGAUGCCCUGGCCCAAGGUUCACCUGCUGAGCUCGGCCCGCGUGACCUUUGACCAGAGAAUCUUCCAGAACACCUGGGGCGGCACCGAGCUGCAGGUGCAGACGGAGCUGGAGCGCGUGGAGCCCCCCAAUCCCCUCCCCCUCAUUUUGGGGGCGUCCUUGGGGGGGCUCCUCCUGCUGGCCCUGGUGGCGCUCGGCCUCUACAAGGUCGGGUUCUUCAAGCGCCGCUACAAAGAAAUGCUGGAGGGCAACGAGAGCCCCGGGGACCCCCAGGCCGCCAAUUAACUGCGAAUUAAUGAACAUUUUAAUUAAAAUAGUCAUUACAAAUUCAGAUUAAAUAGGCAUUUUAAAAAAUCCGAUAAAAAUUCGUUCAAAAUUCAUUUAAAAAUUCAUAAAAAUCCAUUAAAAAAUCAAAAUUUUGUUUAAAAAUCCCA
rnacentral:lncRNA from 1 species